AGGGGACAGGGGAGAGCGGAUACUGCCUUCCUGCUGUGGGCUGAUGCGCGCCCUGCGUAUUCCUGGAAGGUGCACACGAUGGCAGCUACCGCCUGCUCCAGAGGCCUGGCCAUCCUCACUGUCACAGAACAAGGGUGUGGCUCACAGCAGAGUUCCAGGCCAGCCCCCCAGCUCACCUCUGCCCUCUGUGUUUCUCAGAGACUGUUCCCAGACCCAUCUUAACCUCCAUCAGGCUUCAGGCCCCGCAGUCUCCCCCUCCUCUGAGUAGCCCUCCCAGACCACACCAGCCCCUCCUAAUUUAUCCCCCUGCUGUCCUGUUGUUAUUUCCCCAUGUAGAGGUCUCAUUGCCCCAACAUCGCUGUAAACUCCUCAGAGAGACAGCAUCCUACCCCACCACCCACACACCCCACCGUGGGGCUCCUUAAGCACUCUCAGAUUAUCUGCCACCUCUUCUUAUCCCCAACACCCAGGGAUGGCUCGGUCCCAGUCUGCCCCAGCCCAUGAGAUGCCCUAGAAGCCUCCCUCCCUGCAGGAACUUGCACAAGGAGAGCCUGGCCCUGUGCUUCUCUGCCCUCAGCCCUUGGAGAAGCUAGGCCUUAGCAGGGAGGGGCAGGUCUGAGAGGCGCCCCCACAGCCUCACCACCACUGCCCUCACCCUGCCUCCUGCCCUGAACUCGAGGAAGCUGCACCCAGAAGAAAAACUUGUGGGAUCCUCUCUGCCUGUCGCCAGCUGUGCAACCUUGGUGAGCCAUUUGUCUCUCUGGGUCUCAGGGGCGGGGCCUGAUCUGUAAGUUGGGGUUCAUCUCACCUCGCUGGCCCAGUCAGGAACCUGAACCAGAUGGUCUCUUGAGAGUUGACCAGUUCGGGUGUUUACCAAUCUGAGACUGGCCUCCCCUGAGGUUACCCUCCCGACCCCUGGGGGUUUUGAGCAGGGAGGUUCUGUAUAGGGAUACUCUGUUCUAUUGGAGGGGAAGCCCUUCCUGGAAUUGCUCACCUCCCCCCACUUCCACUGUCCCCUUCCACCGCCCUUCUGGGAUGAUGCCUCCAGCCUGGGAAAACCCGAAGGCAGCCAGGAAGGCAAGAGUUUUUUCCAUGCUAGCCCAGUGACUCACUCCUGAUUCCCCCACGGGACAAGAGUCCUGCAGCACAGGGCGGCCAGGGCCAAGACUCUCCCUGAAGAUUUGCCCACUGCUGGGCCCCCUGCUGGGAGCAAAUGGCUGGCAUGGUUGUGGCUGGCAGGAAAGUAGGGGAAGGGGAGUGGGGAGUGCCAAGCACUGCCAGGAUUUAAUUCAUUGUAAACACCCCAGGAUUAGAGCAAGGUGUCCAGGUUCCCAGGAGAGGAAAGGGCCAUGAUCCUCAGAAAUGAGGAGACUCAGAGGUGAAGCAAGGAGGCAAGGAGCAGGUGAGGGGCCUGAUCAAGGGGAAGACCAGAGCCUUGAGCCCAGUGCUCCCACCCCAAGGCAGACCUUAGCUCUACACACCUCCCUGCCCAAACUUCCCCAACAGCCCCUCACUGUGUAAGGAAACCUCUGCGUCCACUAUAUCUGACUUCCCUCCCCGUGUCAGGCCCGCCUGUGGUCAUCUCUCUGCUUCCAAUGCCAGACCCUGGGUCAGGAGUCAGGCUGGCUACUGGGGGUCCCCAAACUGCCCUGACACUCAACCCAGGGCAGGACCCAAGCAGCUGGCACUCACCACUGGUGCUGGCGUUUCAGCUGUAGGAGCUUAGAGACAGGGCGUCACUAUUUGUAGCCUCCCAAGAAAGGAAGGAAGCAAUUAUGGGGGACACAAGUAGGUCAACACUGAGGAUGCCCUCAGGGAUCCCUCAGCAGACCCAUUACAGGCCCCACCUGCCCACCUAUCCACGCACACAUCAAAGGCCAGUCUGGGCUCAGACACCACUCCCCUUUCAUUCCCCAUCUGCCCUCCCCCAGAGUUGGGAACAGGGGACAGUCUCCUGCCAAGUCCUUCCAGCUCAGUUGGAGGAGACAGUCUGGCUUAUCCAUCACAUCACAGCCCCAUCUCUUCACUCUGCAGAGGCCCCCAGAAUACCAAGUGGGGACACACUUCUGCCUCGCUCAGGUUGCACCCCUACAAAUCUCUAUUCCGGGUAGAACUUGGAGAGCACGUGGCUAAGCCUCCCCUUUACAGACGAGAAGUCUGAACUUGCCUGACCAGAUCCCAGCUUUUGGCUGUGAACUGCUUGCUUCCCAGGGGGGAAAUCAUCAGGUGGGAUGUCUUUGAGGCACAGGAAGGAGGUGUGUUCCUCCCAGGGGCACUUCCAGAGUCUAAGCUUGAGAUUUCUGGCCCUUCCACCCCAGGUGAUGGGAAUGAAUUUGGGCUAGAGUCACAUGAAGGCUGGCCAGUGGCUGGAGCUCCUUAAGGGCUGUUUUCCUUCUUCCCCUGCUCUGCUCAGCACCAAAACAACUUUCCUUGAAGUCUUGUGGGUGGCAGGAUGGGAUUUCCUCUGGCUUUUAGCUUGAGUGUGUAGCCUUUUGGGGUCUCAGCAUCAUGGGAGGGUCAUCCAUUUGUGUCCCCUCUUGGGGUGAGAACUGGGCUUCCACUUCUGUCUUCCUCACUCCCCAAACCAUCAGGAUCAAAGCUCAGGUUCGGCUUGGCUUGGCCAAUGACCUCAGGGCACGGGGGGCCCCAGUACAGAUUCUGCUUUGACUUAGAUUUUGGCCUACUCAUUUCUUACUGCCUUGUGGUCUCUUCAAUGCUUUGAAAAGAUUUAAUUCUAUGCAGCAUUUGUUGUUGUUUUUAAGCUGAAGUGGGCACAGACCACCAUAUUACCAGAAACAGACAUACUUUCAUGUAACUUCUCUAUUCUCUCCCUCACACCAGAGCCUGAGAAACUCCUCCCUGUUUUAUAGGAAGAGAACCCAAAACCUAGAAGAGCGUGAGAGGGAAAAGAGGAAGGAGAUUGACUCCCAGGCCGGCAAAGAAGCCUUCCUGCCCGUGCAGGCAGCCAGAGCGCCAGUGACACCUUCGACCUCGCCCUCGGCCCCCAGCACCCAAGCCUUGCCUGUGCCGUCCUCUCCUUGGAGACUCAGCCCUGUUGAGGAGGGGAGUGAGCAAUAGAGGAGGGAAGGAAAAGAGGAGCUGUGAUUAGCCCUGUUUUAUAAUGGGCUACAUAGCCCUGUUUUAUAUGGGCUUUUUAAUGGAAGUAUGGGGAGCAGGGGGCAGAGAACAAGAGACAGUCACGCAGCAGAAGGGGGGGCCAGAGUGCACCAGCAAUUAAUUCAGCUCUAGGUCGAGCUUAAUUAUUCCCACCUAUGAUAUCCCAGCUCUGCCCCCAGCCACCUCCCUUAAGCAGCCUACCUCUGCUCUCGGGGCUUCAUUUUACUCACCUGUCAGUGAUGGAGGGUGAUAAUAGUAACUACCUCAUAGGUUUGUGCGGGGUUUAAAUAAGCUAAUACAUAUAAAGUUCAUAGAGUAAAUAGUGCCCAGCACAUGGCAAGGGCUUGAUAAAUGUUAAUCAAGAGAUGGGUGAGGCCGGGCGCAGUGGCUCACGCCUAUAAUACCAGCAAUUUGGGAGGCCAAGGCGAGCAGAUCACCUGAGGUCAGGAGUUCGAGACCAGCCUGGCAACAUGGUGAAACCCCAUCUCUACUAAAAAUACAAAAAUUAGCUGGGCAUAUUGGCACGUACCUGUAAUCCCAGCUACUCGGGAGGCUGAGGCAGGAGAAUCGCUUGAACCCAGGAGACGAAGGUUGCAGUGAGCUGAGAUCGUGCCACUGCACUCCAGCCUGGGCAACAGAGCAA
rnacentral:lncRNA from 1 species